GAACGCUGGCGGCGUGCUUAACACAUGCAAGUCGAACGGUGAAGGGGCCUGCUUUUGUGGGUCCUGGAUGAGUGGCGAACGGGUGAGUAACACGUGAGUAACCUGCCCCCUUCUUCUGGAUAACCGCAUGAAAGUGUGGCUAAUACGGGAUAUUCUGGGUCUGUCGCAUGGUGGGCCUGGGAAAGAUUGCGCCUUUUUUGGUGUUUUUGGUGGGGGAUGGGCUCGCGGCCUAUCAGCUUGUUGGUGGGGUGAUGGCCUACCAAGGCGGUGACGGGUAGCCGGCCUGAGAGGGUGGACGGUCACACUGGGACUGAGACACGGCCCAGACUCCUACGGGAGGCAGCAGUGGGGAAUAUUGCACAAUGGGCGCAAGCCUGAUGCAGCGACGCCGCGUGAGGGAUGGAGGCCUUCGGGUUGUGAACCUCUUUCGCCAGUGAAGCAGGCCUGCCUCGUUUGUGGGUGGGUUGACGGUAGCUGGAUAAGAAGCGCCGGCUAACUACGUGCCAGCAGCCGCGGUAAUACGUAGGGCGCGAGCGUUGUCCGGAAUUAUUGGGCGUAAAGAGCUCGUAGGCGGCUGGUCGCGUCUGUCGUGAAAUCCUCUGGCUUAACUGGGGGCUUGCGGUGGGUACGGGCCGGCUUGAGUGCGGUAGGGGAGACUGGAACUCCUGGUGUAGCGGUGGAAUGCGCAGAUAUCAGGAAGAACACCGGUGGCGAAGGCGGGUCUCUGGGCCGUUACUGACGCUGAGGAGCGAAAGCGUGGGGAGCGAACAGGAUUAGAUACCCUGGUAGUCCACGCCGUAAACGUUGGGCACUAGGUGUGGGGGGCCUUUUCCGGGUCUUCCGCGCCGUAGCUAACGCAUUAAGUGCCCCGC
rnacentral:rRNA from 1 species